UGGGGAAUAUUGCACAAUGGGCGCAAGCCUGAUGCAGCCAUGCCGCGUGUAUGAAGAAGGCCUUCGGGUUGUAAAGUACUUUCAGUCGGGAGGAAGGUGGUAAGGUUAAUAACCUUAUCAAUUGACGUUACCGACAGAAGAAGCACCGGCUAACUCCGUGCCAGCAGCCGCGGUAAUACGGAGGGUGCAAGCGUUAAUCGGAAUUACUGGGCGUAAAGCGCACGCAGGCGGUUGAUUGAGUCAGAUGUGAAAUCCCCGGGCUUAACCCGGGAAUUGCAUCUGAUACUGGUCAGCUAGAGUCUUGUAGAGGGGGGUAGAAUUCCAUGUAUAGCGGUGAAAUGCGUAGAGAUGUGGAGGAAUACCGGUGGCGAAGGCGGCCCCCUGGACAAAGACUGACGCUCAGGUGCGAAAGCGUGGGGAGCAAACAGG
rnacentral:rRNA from 1 species